UACGGAGGGUGCAAGCGUUAUCCGGAUUCACUGGGUUUAAAGGGUGCGUAGGUGGGCAGGUAAGUCAGUGGUGAAAUCUCCGGGCUUAACCCGGAAACUGCCGUUGAUACUAUCUGUCUUGAAUACCGUGGAGAUGAGCGGAAUAUGUCAUGUAGCGGUGAAAUGCUUAGAUAUGACAUAGAACACCGAUUGCGAAGGCAGCUCGUUACACGGUUAUUGACACUGAGGCACGAAAGCGUGGGGAUCAAACAGG
rnacentral:rRNA from 1 species